CUAGAGUCAGAGUAGCUCCUGGAAGCAACUUCAAAACUCUUCCACAAAAGGAAAUGUGAUUGCAAACAGGUGGCUCAAAAUUACAUAAUAUGCUCUCCUGUUUCUGAGUAACAUUGAAAAAUAGGAGAAGAAGAGCAGCCGGUUUGGAGUGAUGGAAAAAACUGAGGAGAACGAGGAAGCCUGUGACUCGCACAAGCCUGGCAAGGGAGCAGGUUACAGGUAACUGAUUUCUCUGCAACCUUGGAACCUGGGUAAGCCGUGCUUUGAUGGCAAAGAGCUCUCUCCUCUCCUCUCCUCUCCUCUCCUCUCCUCUCCUCUCCUCUCCUCUCCUCUCCUCUCCUCUCCUCUCCUCUCUCUCUCUCUCUCUCUCUCUCUCUCUGUCUCUGUCUCUCUCUCUCUCUCUCUCUCUCUCUCUCUCUCUCUCUCUCUCUCACAUAUCUCUGGCAUGAGAAUUGAAUUGCCCAUGGCCUUGGAGUUCUGUGUGCAUUCUGUCCCUUCUGCUUUUCAUUGUAGCAAGUCAGAAUGGCUUGAGUGUGUGCGCCCUAACCUGACAUUAACACAGGAAGAUACUGCAUCAGCUGUUCUUCCCAAUGUUGUAGACAAAGGAGGGAAAGCCCGUCAUUUGAGGAUACGUUGUAGCCGAGAAGUCACUGUGGCAAGCCUGUGCAGCAAGUAGGUCUCUGAGCAUCCUCAGCAGUGAAGCACGGAGACACAGAGACGGCUGGUGCUCAGCUCCAGGUCUUUUUCUGAUUCAAUCCAGGACCCCCUACCUAGCCCAUGAAUGUCAUCCACAUUUAAUGAGUCUUCUGACCUCACUUAAUCCAGUCUAGAAACUUGUGCCUUGAGCUUUAUCUUCUGGAUCCUGUUAAGAUUGCAGGGGAUAUGAACCACCACAGACACACCUAUUGAAGUGUGAGAAGCAUCUUUUAUGUGCUCCACCCUGCACUGGCCACUCUACUCAUUCAUUCUGCCACCUUCACACAGGAGCUUCAGGGAUCGGACU
rnacentral:lncRNA from 1 species